ensembl:antisense 1700080N15Rik RIKEN cDNA 1700080N15 gene
GAACAUUUGAAUCUAUGGGCAGGUACAGCAGGGGAAACAGUGACCAGGUUCUGCAGAGAGCAGGAUAGAGUGCUGAUGACAGUGGGGAAGAGGCAGUUAGUACCUCCCAUAGAAAAUGGCUUGGCAAGAGUGCAGGUGGCAGGCGAAGCAGAACCAUUUGUGUCGAAGGCAGCAUGAAGAGCAGUGGGCCAGCUAUCCAGGUCUGGGCAAAAUAGCAAGAAUGCAGGCAUAUGAGUUGAAGAAGGAAGAGGAAGAAGAUGAAUAUGCAUGGGCUAUCUCCGCUCUUCUCUCGGAAUCCUCUCACACUAAAGGAAGAGAUAAAUAAGGAGGGACAGUGACAAGUGUUCGGGCAGUGAUACGUGUUAGCAUCAUCAUUGAGUCUAGUGCCUGUGGACUUGUAACUCCACUGAAAAACAAAGUCAUAUUGAGUUUAUGGGUCUUAAUUUACCCAGCUUGAUAAUGGUAAAAGCUUUGGGGAUUGGAUUGAAUCUUUCCUUGUGACUUUAAGGAACACUCAAAAGAGAUUCCCCUCUAUCUUUCUCAUGCAUGCAAGAUUUGGGAUGCUCUAUCCAAUUACAGGUUAAGAAAUGCAGCAUCUUGACACCUCCAUACCCAAAGCCAAGAUUGCUGUUUCUUUCAGACAGGCCCCCAAAAAGCAUUGGACAAAAUUUGACUAAAUGCUUUAUAGACCUUCCCCUUUGACUAAGAAAAAAAAAAAAAAAACAUUGGUGAUUGCUUCUAUUCCAUAGAUGGAAAAUCAAGAAAAAGACUUAUACUUUAUUCCUCAUGGUAUAGCAUUAUAUCCUUAGUGGGUGAGGCCCUUGUUUACCCUGAGGUGGUAGGCUAUUCAUGGCUAACCAGUGUAUCACUGGUACAACUAAGAUGAUUAGAUAUUACAAGUGGAAGCCUGAAGGGAUCUUCCCUGAACUGAUAUUCAACCCAUAAAUCACACCACUGCUCAUAUAGAGCAACUGCUCAUGAUAACAAGAUAACACCCAGAUCCUACUAGUUAAGAUGCCUGGCACUCAUGAUCUGGGGAAGAAUAUGAAGAGGAUGCUCCUACUGCAGAUGACUGAAACACAUACAGACUGUCUGUAAGUCAAUGAAACAGUGUGCUGCUUCUCCUCUGAUAGGCUGCUUCUUAAUUAAUCUACCCAUCAAUCAAGAGUAAUGUACCAAGUGAUGUUCCUCACUUCGGAACUCUGCUGUGGAGGCUCCAAAUACUUGUAUUGUGUGGAUUUAUGUCUGGAGAUCUCAUUAUAUCAAACAAAACUCUAACUCCAGAAACCAGAAAUGUGUAUAAAGGGAGGCCUUGAAAACC